rnacentral:lncRNA from 1 species
CUCUUCGGGGACGCACGGUUGGAAGUUGUACCGUGACGUGAUGGUCAGAUCGGAUGAUAGAAUUUUGGUGCGUAACAAUUCCAACUUUUGCUUCUGUGCCCUUCAAGUGUAUUUUAUCCGUGCCCCAGUUUUGCAGAUGAGGAGACUCGGACUUGUAAGUAACUUUCUGUAGGUCUUUGCUGGGUCCUAGACUGGAUCGAAACCCAAAUAUUCUGACCCCAACUGCAGGAUUUUUCCACUGCACCUGGCUGCCUCCGCCCUGGCCCCAGAUUGGCUCCUCCAGAAACAGACUAGCCCGGCCCUUUGCCCUGCUGGGCCCUCCUGGGAGAGCGCUUUUCACAACAUUGGCUGGGAUGAGGGUCUGGAGGGCCCGGAACGGAGCCUGCCUUCUCCUUCUCAGUCACGCUUGGCCCAGGCUGCCCCGGACCGGGCCACAUCCUUGGCCGCCCCGCACCUGACGUGAGAAGAGGCUACGUAUCAUAGAUUCCUCCAUCAGUAGUAAGGAGCCUGAGUUUCUGUCUCAGGUCAGCUUGUGUGGCUUUGAAUGAGAGGCUCUGGUCUGCAGUUUUCACAUCUGCAUCGUCUAAAGGCAAGGGCACAGACUUUACUGCCUGGUAGACAUGGGGUAGGCCCUCCUUUAUUGGCAGUGUGACCCUGGGCAAAUUACUUGUCUUAAUCUCCAAUUCCACACCUGUGAAACCCCACCUCCAAGGUUGUGGGAACCCAAAAGAAUGUAUGUAAAGCACCUGUUGCAUUGUAGGAAUCUACUUAAUAUUACUGUAGGAGGUUGAACUAAAUGGCUCUUGAGGUCUCCUCGGUUACUCCCAUUCUCCAUGUCACCAAGAGGUCUUGUCUGGGUAGUUUCAACUCCUUACCCAGCUUCUUUCUAAGUCCACUCUAUGCAGGGCAGGGCUGGAAUAGCAAGGUCAGAUGAUGUCAUGGCAUGCCAACCUGACUCUGAAUGGCAGUUCAUGGCACCCUGAACUGAAAGUGAGGGAACAGGAAGGAAAAGGCUAGCCCAGGGAAACUGCGGAGCACUUUACUCGGACUACACCUACCUUUCCUUCCCCAGGGGGCUGCCAGGAAACAGUUGUCACACAGCUGGAGUGGGACCCCCAGAGGCACUUAGUGGUCACCAGGCAGGUGGGUAUUUGAACCACCCAGAGCAGAACAGGCAGCUUCUUCAAUAUUUCCAGGGCCAAUGGCCCCAAAAGGGCUCAUUCCAAGAUCGAAAUAAUCAUCUGAGUCUGAAAUAGCUCUGCCUAUGUCCUGUGGAAGUUUCUCCUGGUUUGUGGAGGUGCCUUUCCUUAUAGUCAUCUUUCUGCAGACAUAAGCAAACCCAGUGUUGUUCUUUUCACAGAAACCUCCCCAGCAUUAAGGCAAGAAAGGUGUCUCUGUUUUUUCCGAAGUGUGCCUGCUUGACUCCUUUGAUUUUUCUCUGGGAUUCUUCAUCCUCCAUCAAGUUGAUCGAUCCCUCUGGAUCUUGGUCAGUUUCCUGACAUCUCUAUGAAGUUCAGUGACCCAGACUGAGUCCACGUCUCAAAUAAGGUUCUGACUAAUGCAGAGUCUAACAGAAAGAUUACUGAACAUGUCAUGCACUAUUAAUAACUCCUGUUAUCGAGGAUUUUUUUUUCACAAUAGGAAUGAACAGAGUUCUGACUCACUCUAGGUUUGUGGUAAAUUGCAGAUCACUUUCUGCUUUAUUUAGCGGGAGUCCCUGUUGUCAUCUUUCUCCUUCUCUCUUGGCCCUCAUAAUUAUCAUAUCUUCCCCAAACGUUCUUCAGCUGUGAAUAGCCCUAAGCACUAUUCAGAGUGAGUGACAGCUCUCUUAUUUCGUGCUGGGGGACAUACAAACCCUUGGACAAACACUUGUCACUGUGUGCCAAGAAGCUGAAAAAUUCUUCUUGCCUCAGAGCCAUAAUUACACUUUUGGUAGCAUAUUCUAAGGAAGUCAUCCCAUGUACAGGAAAAGCUGCAAUGUGUCAGGAUGUUCAUUCCAGCAAUAUUUAUAGUAGUGAAAAACUGAAAGCAACCAAAUGCCCAAGAAAAAAAUUACAGUAUAUCCACUGGAUGGAAUAGUAUGAAGCCAUUUAGGACAGAUUGUGAAAACCCUGUGGCAGUAUGGGGAAUGUUUGCUAAGUUAUAUGAAAAGAUGAGGACACAAAAUAGCAUAACAUACAUUCCCCAGGGAUAUAGUCAGCAAAGUCUAGAAUGAAGAAAAUUAGGACAAACACCCAAUUCCCUUAACAAAUAAAACUGGGGCCAGGUAUGGUGACUCACGCCUGUAAUCCCAGCACUUUGAGAGGCCAAGGCUUGUGUCCAGGAGUUCGAGACCAACCUGGACAACAUGGUAAAACCCCGUGGUCUACAAAAAAUACAAAAAUUAGUUGGGCAUGGUGGUGUGUCUAUAGUCCCAGCUACUCAGGAGGCUGAGGUGGGAGGAUCAAUUGAGCCCGGGAGGUCAAGGCUGCAGUGAGCUGUGAUCGUGCCAGUGCAUUCCAGUCUGGGCAGCAGAGUGAGAUCCUGUCUCAAAAAAAAAAAAAAAAAAAAAGGAAAAAAAAGAGGGGGAGAGACUUACAGAUUAAAAUAAAUUAAAUGAUAUAUCAACUAAAAGUCUUAUUUGGAUCCUGAUUCAAGCAAACUGACUUUAAAAAAAAAAAAAAAAAAAAAAAAAAAAAGGCCGGGCAUGGUCACGCAUGCCUGUAACCCCAGUACUUUGGGAGGCCAAGGUAGGCGGAUCACCUGAGGUCAGGAGUUUGACACCAGCCUGGCCAACGUGGUGAAACUCCGUCUCUACUAAAACUACAAAAACUAGCUGGGUGUGGUGAUGGGCGCCUGUAAUCCCAGCUACUCAGGAGGCUGAAGCAAGAGAAUUGCUUGAACCCAGGAGGCAGAGGUUGUAGUGAGCCAAGAUUGCACCAUUGGCACUCCAGCCUGGGUGACUGAGCAAGGCUCUGUCUCAAAAAAAAAAAAAAAAAAAAAAAGAUUUUAUUAAGUUAUCAGGCAAAUUUGAAUACUGACAAGGUAUUCAACGAUAUUAAGGAAUUCUAAAUGUUUAGGCGUGAUAUGGAAUUGUGGUAAGGUUGUUUUUUUAAUUUAAAAAGUCCUCCAUGGCUGGGCGUGGUAGCUCAUGCCUGUAAUCCCAGCACUUUGGGAGGCUCAGGCAGACAGAUCACCUGAGGUCAGGAGUUCGAGACCAGCCUGGCCAACAUGGUGAAACCCCGCCUCUACUAAAAAUACAAAAAUUAGCCAGGCGUGGUGACAGGCGCCUAUAAUCCCAGCUACUUGAGAGGCUGAGGCAGGAGAAUCGCUUGAACCCAGGAGGUGGAGGAUGCAGUGAGCCGAGAUCGUGCCAUUGCACUCCAGCCUGGGAGACAAGAGUGAAACUUCAUCUCAAAAAAAAAAAAAGUCUUCCUUGGCUGGGUGCGUUGGAUCACACCUGUAAUCCCAGCACUUUGGGAGGUGAGGCAGGCAGAUCACAAGGUCAGGAGUUUGAGACCAGCCUGGCCAGCAUGGUGAAAUCCCGUCUCUACUAAAAAUAGAAAAAAAUUAGCCAGGCAUGGUGGCACGUGCCUGUAAUCCCAGCUACUCGGGAGGCUGAGGCAGGAGAAUUACUUGAAACUGGGAGGCAGAGGUUGCAGUGAGCCGAGAUCAUACCACUGUACUCCACCCCGGGUGACAGAGAGAGACUUCGUCUCAAAAAAAAAAAAAAAAAAAAAGUCCUCCUUUCAGACAUACAUACAUACUAAAAUAUCUGUGGAUGAAAUGAUACAGUGAUUGCAUUUGCUUCGAAAUAAUCUGGACUGGGAACCAUAGGGAAAUAAUAAGAUGAGCCAUGAGGUGAUAAUUAUGGAAGCUGUGUGAUGAGGACAUGAAGUUCCUUAUAUUAUUUUCUAUACUUUUUUUUUUUUUUUUUUUUUGAGACAGAGUCUCACUCUGUCACCCAGGCUGGAGCACAGUGGUGCAGUUUCGGCUCACUGCAACCUCCGCCUCCCUAGUUCAAGAGAUUUUCCUGCCUCAGCCUCCCGAGUGGGCUGGGAUUACAGGUGCACGCCACCACAUCCAGGUAAUUUUUGUAUUUUUAGUUGAGACAGGGUUUCACCAUGUUGGCCAGGCUGGUUUUGAACUCCUGACUUCAAGUGAUCUGCCCACCUUGGCCUCCCAAAGUGCUGGGAUUACAGGCAUGAGCCACCACGCCUGGGCUAUUUUCUCUACUUUUUUAAUGUUUAAAACUGUUCAUAAUAAAAAGUCUAAACCUGCAUAUACGUUAAUGAUUAAGAUAAGCCAAAAUAGAGCAGCACUGGUAACAUCCUCUGGCACCAGACUGCCAGGGUUCAACUCGCAGCUCCUCUAGUUACCAGCUGUGUAACCUUAAGCAAGUUACUGAACCUCUCUGUGCUUCAGUUACCUCGUUGCUAAAAGAAUUGGCAAGUGACACUGGUGUUCGGAAAAAAUAAAGUAAAUGAAGAUGGCGAUGAUCAUGAUAAUACCCUCCUCAUGUUGUGGAUAUUAAAUGGGUCAGUAAAUGUGAAAUGAAACACUCAAAACAAUUCCUGGCACAUAAUUAAGUGCUCAGUAUGUGUUGCCUUUUAUUAAUUCAUUCCACAUUUGAAUGAUAUUUGAGCAUCUACUUUACUAGGUUAUGGAAAUUCAACAAAAUAAAAACAGACCUUGGGCCGGGCACUGUGGCUCAAGCCUGUAAUCCCAGCACUUUGGGAAGCUGAGGCGGGAGGAUUGCUUGAGGCCAGGAGUUCAAGACCAGCCUGGCAACGUAAUGAGACCCCCCCCCCACCCAACCACCAUCUCUAUAAAAAACAAAAAUAAAUUAGCCGGGCAUGGUGGCAUGUUCCCGUAGUCCCAGCUACUCAGGAGGCUAAGGCGGGAGGAUCGCUUGAGCCCAAGGAAUUCGAGGCUGCAGUGAGUUAUGAUCUCGCUAGGAAUUCGAGGCUGCAGUGAGUUAUGAUCUCGCUAUUUCACUCCAGCCUGGGCAAUAAAGCAAGCCCUGUCUCUUAAAACAACAACAACCGGGCAUGGUGGCUAGCGCCUGUAAUCCCAGCACUUUGGGAGGCCGAGGCAGGUGGAUCAUCUGAGGUCAGGAGUUCGAGACCAGCCUGGCCAACAUGGUGAAACCCCGUCUCUACUAAAAAUGCAAAAAUUAGCCAGGCAUGGUGGCGCGCCCCUGUAAUCCCAGUUACUAGGAAGACUGAGGUGGGAGAAUUGCUUGAACCCGGGAGGCGGAGGCUGCAGAGAGCAGAGAUGGCGCCAUUUUACUCCAGCCUGGGCAACAAGAGUGGAACUUUGUCUCAAAAAAUA